GGUUUUUGUGGAACAGCUCAUGCACAUUUUAUUCCAUGAGUUGUCCCACAAAGAACAC
rnacentral:pre_miRNA from 1 species